ACAAUCGGAAUAGCGCCUGAGCAGGUGAGAUGUCAUCUGCUGACGAGGAGGACAGUCAUCGAUUUUCGGCGGAUACUGUCCCGGAUACUGAAGUAUUCGUAAAAACGGAUGUUAAAACUGUUGAGCGAUUGGCAGGACAGAGCACCGGAACUUAAGACA
rnacentral:ncRNA from 1 species